GUAAAGUUUAAAGUUUUUUCAGACCAUGAAAGCUUCAGUUUUAUGGGUAAGGAACAUGCCCUUGUCUUAUCCAAUCACAGAAGUGAUAUCGAUUUGUUAGUUGGAUGGGUUUUGGCUCAGUGAUCAGGUUGUCUUGGCAGUACAUUAGCUGUUAUGAAGAAAUCAUCAAAAUUCCUUCUGGUCAUCGGUUGGUCAAUGUGUUUUU